AAAAUAGCAUUCAACUCAGGAUUUGUCGUGUAAUACAAAAAUAAACUGAAGAAAUGUGAUAAAGAUGUAUAACAAUUUAACUAUGUAGAGUUUCUUUUGAGUAACUAUACAAAAUUGUUUAAUUGGAUUGAGCCUAAAUGAAAUACUGAACGAACAAUUUGGUAAAAAUGUGUUAUUUGUGGAACACGAACGGAUCAGUGAGUUCAAGAGAAAGUUUUGCGUCAACCAUGGAUUAAUAUUCACGUAAAUGUUAAGAAUGUAGCAGGACUUUUGAACACAAUGUUUAUUUUCGUUGUUUGAGAAUGUGGUUCCAGUUUUCAUAUUAAGUGCGGAA